GUAAGUGUACAUUGACAUUAAGAACAUUUCAGCUGUGAAAAUGGUAAGGUAACUUAUCCGCGCUACACAGAACGUCAACAACUCAAAACUACAGCAUUAUUGAUAUGCACAUCUACUGUAUAGGAAAUAAGUAACAAUACUCUUCUUAACGAUAUUCAGGAUACUAUUGUUUUUCAUGUAGAGUUGUUGUACUCAUUGCAGGAGACAAACGGUCAAAGAAAAAAGGCACACUUGACUUGCUUUGACUCUCAGUGGGCACCAGCAGAUAUUGGUCGUGGUACACAUCCUAUUAAAAUUUUGGUGUUUCUUUUUCCAGGAAGCAGAUAUACUAACUUUGCCCAGGAAUUAGUUGUUAGCAAUGAUUGCACUUCCAUCCACAUAGAGCUUGCAGCAAGUGAAUGAGGGUAGAGGUUGGAGGGGAGGGAGAGACUUCAGCUAUUCAUGAGUAACUUGUUUCAUUGAGAGUCUAAAAAUGAAAUUAUCGUCAUCAUCAACUUCUCUUAACCUCUG
rnacentral:misc_RNA from 1 species